rnacentral:rRNA from 1 species
AACCCCUGUGACAUACCAUUUGUUGCCUCGGCGGUGCCUGCUUCGGCAGCCCGCCAGAGGACCCAAACCCUUGAUUUUAUACAGUAUCUUCUGAGUAAAUGAUUAAAUAAAUCAAAACUUUCAACAACGGAUCUCUUGGUUCUGGCAUCGAUGAAGAACGCAGCGAAAUGCGAUAAGUAAUGUGAAUUGCAGAAUUCAGUGAAUCAUCGAAUCUUUGAACGCACAUUGCGCCCGCCAGUAUUCUGGCGGGCAUGCCUGUUCGAGCGUCAUUUCAACCCUCAAGCCCCCGGGCUUGGUGUUGGAGAUCGGCGUGCCCUCCGGGGCGCGCCGGCUCCCAAAUAUAGUGGCGGUCUCGCUGUAGCUUCCUCUGCGUAGUAGCACACCUCGCACUGGAAAACAGCGUGGCCACGCCGUUAAACCCCCCACUUCUGAAAGGUUGACCUCGGAUCAGGUAGGAAUACCCGCUGAACUUAAGCAUAUCAAUAAG